GCUGAAUGUGGGGAUAAUUUAUCUCCGUGUUGAAGCUAACGCGUUAGCACUCCGCCUGGGGACUACGGUCGCAAGACUAAAACUCAAAGGAAUUGACGGGGACCCGCACAAGCGGUGGAGCAUGUGGUUUAAUUCGAUGCAACGCGAAAAACCUUACCACUCCUUGACAUGGAGAUUAGAUCCUUCUUAACGGAAGGGCGCAGUUCGGCUGGGUCUCGCACAGGUGCUGCAUGGCUGUCGUCAGCUCGUGUCGUGAGAUGUUGGGUUAAGUCCCGCAACGAGCGUAACCCUCAUCCUUAGUUGCCAGCGGAUAAUGCCGGGUACUUUAAGGAAACUGCCGGUGGUAAACCGGAGGAAGGUGGGGAUGAUGUCAAGUCAGCACGGCCCUUAUGGGGUGGGCUACACACGUGCUACAAUGGUGACUACAAUAGGUUGCAACGCCGCAAGGCUGAGCUAAUCCAUAAAAGUCAUCUCAGUUCGGAUUGUCCUCUGUAACUCGAGGGCAUGAAGUCGGAAUCGCUAGUAAUCGUGGAUCAGCAUGCCACGGUGAAUACGUUCUCGGGUCUUGUACACACUGCCCGUCACGCCAUGGGAAUUGGCUUAACUCGAAGCUGGUGCGCUAACCGAAAGGAAAGCAGCCAU
rnacentral:rRNA from 1 species